ensembl:snRNA U6 U6 spliceosomal RNA
GUGCUCACUUCAGCAGCACAUAUACUAAAAUUGGAACAAUACAGGGAAAAUUAGCAUGGCCCCUGUGCAAGGAUGACAAACAAAUUCAUGAAGCGUUGCAUGUUUAA